UACGGAGGGUGCAAGCGUUAUCCGGAUUCACUGGGUUUAAAGGGUGCGUAGGAGGGCAGGUAAGUCAGUGGUGAAAUCUCCAAGCUUAACUUGGAAACUGCCGUUGAUACUAUCUGUCUUGAAUACCGUGGAGAUGAGCGGAAUAUGUCAUGUAGCGGUGAAAUGACGUAGAUAUCUGGAGGAAUACCGGGUGGCGAAGGCGGCGAUCCUGGACCGAUACUGACGCUGAGGUGCGAAAGCGUGGGGAGCAAACAGGG
rnacentral:rRNA from 1 species